rnacentral:rRNA from 1 species
UUUAUUUAACGGCCGCAGUACCUUGACUGUGCUAAGGUAGCAUAAUAAAUUGACUUUUAAUUGAAGCCUUGAAUGAAAGGAUAAUUGGAUAAUUUCUGUCUUUAAUUAAUUACUUAUAAUUUACUUAAAAGGUGAAAAUUCCUUUAGAUAAAUAUAAUAGACGAGAAGACCCUAGGAGUUUUAAAUUUUGUUGGGGCGACAGUAUAGCAUAUAACUAACCUAUAUAAAAAUUAUAAAAAUUUAACGAAUAGUUUUAAUAAUAAAUAAACUACCCUAGGGAUAACAGCAUAAUUUUUAAAUAAAGUUUGUGACCUCGAUGUUGGACUAGGGACUUUUAAGGCUAACAGCGUUAAUUGACAGUUCUGUUCGA